rnacentral:rRNA from 2 species
UGGUGCCUUCGGGAACUGUGAGACAGGUGCUGCAUGGCUGUCGUCAGCUCGUGUUGUGAAAUGUUGGGUUAAGUCCCGCAACGAGCGCAACCCUUAUCCUUUGUUGCCAGCGAUUAGGUCGGGAACUCAAAGGAGACUGCCAGUGAUAAACUGGAGGAAGGUGGGGAUGACGUCAAGUCAUCAUGGCCCUUACGACCAGGGCUACACACGUGCUACAAUGGCGCAUACAAAGAGAAGCGACCUCGCGAGAGCAAGCGGACCUCAUAAAGUGCGUCGUAGUCCGGAUUGGAGUCUGCAACUCGACUCCAUGAAGUCGGAAUCGCUAGUAAUCGUGGAUCAGAAUGCCACGGUGAAUACGUUCCCGGGCCUUGUACACACCGCCCGUCACACCAUGGGAGUGGGUUGCAAAAGAAGUAGGUAGCUUAACCUUCGGGAGGGCGCUUACCACUUUGUGAUUCAUGACUGGGGUGAAGUCGUAACAAGGUAACCGUAGGGGAACCUGCGGUUGGA